GAUGAGUGGUGUAGGUCUACCCCGGGAUCUGAAUCCAUGAACCCGGGCUGCCAAAGCAGAGCGUGCUGAACUUAACCCCUACACCACAGGGCUGGCCCAGGGUCUGAUCAUCUUAAAAUGAGCCAUCUACUUAAAUUCUAGAUUCAUUGAACUGAGCCAAUAAACUCCAGUUUGUAGCAGCUCUACCAACACAGAGGAUGCCUGAGUGUUCUAAGAUCCUGCUUAAAACAACAAGUCCUCUCGUCUUUAUUACAAUGUGACACAUUUUCUGAUGAAGCAGCAAUCUGAAAUAGAAAACAUGAUGUCAUAGACUAUGAAAUAAACGUUCUUAUUUUUAAUGAGAUCUGCCACCAUUUCAGACCUGCCUGAAGUUGAAAUGAACACGAUGAACAACUGUGAAUAAGAACUAACAUUUCAGGGUGUGAGGAAUCAGAGGUGACCGGAUGAUUUAGUUGUGUCCCAAGCAGGAUGUCCUAGUUUCAAAAUUAUUCAUGUAUUCAAAGCAACAGAAUAAAUCCCCAUUCUAUUUAAGAGGUAGUGAUUCUUUCUAUCCAAGUGAAAAUGCAGCACAUAGACCCAAAUUCUGCACUGAAAAUAGAAGAUUAUUAGCAUUAUAAUUUAUGUAAAUGGCUGCUCUAUUCAUGUGAAGGUAAUUGGUAUCUCUCAGUCAUAUGCUAAUUAUUACAUAAACAGAUCAUAAACAAUUAUGUGAGACGAUUUCCUUUUUUAAGCUGAAACUCCACCUAUUCCUUUAAAGGGUCUACUAUGUUAUUAUAUAAAACAGGAAAAGAAUGACUUAUAUGAGUUCCAAUGCUUUAAAAAUAAAAAUUCUGUUUGGUGCUCUAAAAAUUCUGUUAGGUUUGGUAGGCAUAAGAUCUAUCUAAGAUCUAGGGCAAUGAUUCCCCAUCUUACUGGAACUCACUGGAUAUGUUUGUCUUGGUGGUAGACCUUGAGAGGAAGAAUGGGCGUAAACUUCUCAAACUGAGUGCAUCAAAAUCACCUGGAGAGCUCGUUAAACGCAGGUUUCAGGGCUUCAUCCCCAGAGUUCCGAUUCAGUGGGCCUGACAAUUUGCGUUUCUAGCAAGUUCCAGGUGAUGCUGAUGCAAUUGGUUCCAGCACCACCCUUUAAGAAUCAGUGCUUUAAAGCACGGAUGUGGACUUGGACCCUCAAGGCUGAAGGGAUGUCUAGACUCAAUAGCUUCUUGACGUCCCGGUCCUGUGAUGGAAAGGCAGGGACAAGGGAGGAAUCUUCCAACCUGGAGACUGGUCACCGGGCAGUGUCCUCAUUCAUGAUGCGGCGACAUUCUGCAGUCUGUGCUGAUCUCACAUACUGGCCAGCGUCCAUCUGGGUGGCUGAGCACCAUGCUUUAUGUGCUGUCAAGGGUUUCGGUCAUCACUCCUGCUUUUUCACCAAGGGGACAAAUCCACUAACCCAUUUUAUUGGUGUGAGAAGUGCUACACAAGGAAAGGUACAUUCUGACUCCUUAGAUACUUGAUGGAAAACAUAUUUUUGAAUAUCCCUAAAUCCUUGGGAGGAAAGGAAGAUUAGGCACCAGAAUCGAAGGACAGGGCUUGUUGAAUAGGAUGAAAUGCCAAGGGAAAAAGAGGGAAGUUCAGAAACAUCUUGGGCAGAAUUUUAGUGCUUAUUUGGUUCCUGGAAGAGAAGGCAGGUCUAGCUUGGCUGGAAGCAGCCUGGACCUCACACUGUGAAUCUCAGUUGCUCUGAGCCCCACUUGGGGGUUAGCCAUCCUGGAUCUAUGCAAAUUGUUCCCAUUCUUGGAACCUUGUGGUAGUGUAUGCAGUAUUCCAGCCUCCCCACAGGAAGUGGCAGGAGGGGUUUAUAGACAGAUUUCUCCCAUUGACCACCAAUUUAGUGAAACUCAGUAGAAAAAGUAACUUUGUGCAUACCCAUAGGAAAGUUCUGGGACCUUCCACGUGACUGAAGUUGAAUCAAAACUCGACCUCUUGGGAGAAACUUAGUCUGCUUAUGAAAUUAAAAAAAAAAAAAUCACCCAGCCCUUCCCUGUUGGAAAGAGAGUUAAAUGGAGGCUAUGUUAUCAUUAGGCAUGUCCUUUGGCCAGUUAGCAAAGCAAGAUUCGGCAGAGUAGACCGAAAAAGAAGUUAAGCCCAUUUAAAACUUGUCCCUGGAAACCUUGAUUUCCCUUCCCCAUAUGGUCUAUAGAGCCUAAUAAGGAUUUUUCCGACGGCUUUGAAAUAUGAAGACUUUUAAUCAACUCUGCCAAGCAGCCCAGCGAAAAGCUUUCCAAGGCUGGGGAGAUGGACGCGUAAUCAAUAGCUUUCAAAGCUCCCCACGAUACUCAGGAAAGACAGCUGUCAGCAAUGGGAGCUGCUUGAUGGGAGCAGAAAAUAACAUAAACCGCCAAAUCAAAUCAUCCCAGAGAUCUGUGUGCUGGAGACGCCUCAUGGUCUAUGCCGCUCACAAUUUAGGUAUUGAUGAAAUGAUAGAAUUCAACCGCUAUGAAUUUUCAAAUUUUACUCUCUCUUUGCCUUGCUCUGUUCUUUAUUUCUUGGUCUCUGUGUCUCUGGGGAUGUGGCUGUGUUUAUCACACACACACAGUCAGGGACUCCUCAGAUGAGGCCCAUCAUGGAUUUGGUCUGAGACUGGCCUUCCUAGGAGGCUGAAUGUUGCAUUUGGUG
rnacentral:lncRNA from 1 species